AACGAACGCUGGCGGCAGGCUUAACACAUGCAAGUCGAGCGCCCCGCAAGGGGAGCGGCAGACGGGUGAGUAACACGUGGGAAUCUACCCAUCCCUGCGGAACAACUCCGGGAAACUGGGGCUAAUACCGCAUACGCCCUACGGGGGAAAGAUUUAUCGGGGAUGGAUGAGCCCGCGUUGGAUUAGCUAGUUGGUGGGGU
rnacentral:rRNA from 1 species